rnacentral:rRNA from 1 species
ACUGCUCAGUAACACGUGGACAACCUGCCCUUAGGUUGGGUAUAAACCCGGGAAACUGGGUAUAAUACCCGAUAGGUCUCGAUUGCUGGAAUGCAUCGAGAUUUAAAGCUCCGGCGCCUAAGGAUGGGUCUGCGGCCUAUCAGGUAGUAGUGGGUGUAGCGUACCUACUAGCCUACGACGGGUACGGGUUGUGAGAGCAAGAGCCCGGAGAUGGAUUCUGAGACACGAAUCCAGGCCCUACGGGGUGCAGCAGGCGCGAAAACUUUACAAUGCUGGCAACAGCGAUAAGGGAACCUCGAGUGCCAGGUUACAAAUCUGGCUGUCGAGAUGCCUAAAAAGCAUUUCAUAGCAAGGGCCGGGCAAGACCGGUGCCAGCCGCCGCGGUAACACCGGCGGCUCGAGUGGUAACCGUUAUUAUUGGGUCUAAAGGGUCUGUAGCCGGCCGGAUAAGUCUCUUGAGAAAUCUGGCAGCUUAACUGUCAGGCUUUCAGGAGAUACUGUCUGGCUCGAGGCCGGGAGAGGCGAGAGGUACCUCAGGGGUAGGGGUGAAAUCUUGUAAUCCUUGAAGGACCACCAGUGGCGAAGGCGUCUCACCAGAACGGACCUGACGGCAAGGGACGAAAGCUAGGGGCACGAACCGGAUUAGAUACCCGGGUAGUCCUAGCCGUAAACGAUACUCGCUAGGUGUCGGCCACGGUGCGACCGUUGUCGGUGCCGUAGGGAAGCCGUGAAGCGAGCCACCUGGGAAGUACGGCCGCAAGGCUGAAACUUAAAGGAAUUGGCGGGGGAGCACCACAACGGGUGGAGCUUGCGGUUUAAUUGGAUUCAACGCCGGAAAUCUUACCGGGACCGACAGCAAUAUGAAGGCCAGGCUGAAGACUUUGCCGGAUUAGCUGAGAGGUGGUGCAUGGCCGUCGUCAGUUCGUACUGUGAAGCAUCCUGUUAAGUCAGGCAACGAGCGAGACCCCUACC